rnacentral:rRNA from 1 species
AAGGUGGGGAUGAUGUCAAGUCAGCAUGGCCUUUAUAUCCCUGGGCUACACACACGCUACAAUGGCCAACACAAUAGGUUGCUAAGCCGCGAGGUGGCGCCAAUCCAUAAAGUUGGUCCUCAGUUCAGAUUGUAGGCUGCAACCCGCCUGCAUGAAGAUGGAGUUGCUAGUAACCGCAGGUCAGCUAUACUGCGGUGAAUACGUUCCCGGGGCUU